UUUUUCCUACGGGGGGCAGCAGUGGGGAAUAUUGGGCAAUGGGCGAAAGCCUGACCCAGCAACGCCGCGUGAAGGAAGAAGGCUUUCGGGUUGUAAACUUCUUUUGACAGGGAAGAGCAGAAGACGGUACCUGUCGAAUAAGCCACGGCUAACUACGUGCCAGCAGCCGCGGUAAUACGUAGGUGGCAAGCGUUGUCCGGAUUUACUGGGUGUAAAGGGCGGGCAGCCGGGAGUG
rnacentral:rRNA from 1 species